GAAAAGACUGAUGCAACUAUACAAAAGAAAAAAAAGGAUUGGUGAAUCCUUACGAAUUCCAUUGUGCGUCGUGUUCCUUCAACAACCAGAUUGGUCAUAUUUCCAAUCAAACCAAUAGAUGGAGGCUAUGUAACGCAUCCACAAGUUAGCUUCCCUGAAGUUUGGCACUGCAGCACCAAUCCAAGUCUUCCCUUGAUGUGGAUACCGAUCAGCCAGCAAGUAGUAGAGGCAUCCAGCACAGUGGACUAAGAAAAAGCAUACCUGUAAUCAGAAUUCAAGCUAGUGAUGUUGAUGAUUGAUGACUGGAGACGAGUUCAUGGUACAUCAUGAGCUGGCAUAUCACAUGUAUCAGUUUGAUUUUAGCAUAAGGUUGUACAAGAGCAGCCCCCAUGUCAUAAAAUGACAGAAUGGAAGACAGUGGCAGAGGCAUUGCAGGAUCCUUAUGGUCAGCAAAUUUUGUACAAUUUUUUUACGACCACAAGUCGAUAAGUUUUUCUACCAUUAUUGGUGGGGUCAGUCCGUGGGCUGGGAUACCUCAGUCAGUGCUACAAGAAUAAGCUGAAAUCAAGAAUGAAAAAGACAAUCAGUUUGUGAUGGCCAGGUAACAAUCUGGUGGGCCCCUCAUGUUGGUGAUAGAAUAACAUCUGACAAUAUCUUGUUUUCUUUUUUCCUUUCAUGAGAUCUAUAAAAACUUGAAAUCUUGAAGUAUAUUUGUGCAAGAGUUGGUGCUGAUCGUGCAUUGCGACAGUGAUUAAGCCGAAAUCAAGAAUUGAACAAAAUGACAGCACUACAAGUGGUGGUUAUCUCAAGUUCUGGUGAAAGCAAGCUUGCCAAGACAACCUGCUUGCCAUGGUCAGAUAUUAGCCAACACUCUGGGAUUAGGCUGACAUCAAGAAUGAACAAAAUGACAGCAUUAGAUGUGGUGACCUCGAGAUCUCGUGACAGCCAGCUUACCAAGACAACCUGCUUGUGAUGGUCAGGUAUUAGCAUUCCUUUCUACUUAACCGACCCAGACCUUCUAGAUUUGAUGAACUACAGCCAACUUGAAACCGUACUCCACAUCAAGGAGCUACAGCAGCACUCUAUCAUUUUUUAUACAAUUCUCUAGAAUCUACUCGAUCUUGAUUAGCUACUUGAUGUGUUGAUACCCUGGUGGGCUCCUCAUGUUGGUGAUAGAAUAAAAAGUCUAACAAUAUCUUCUUCUUUUUUUUCACUUUUCCUUUCAUGAGAGCUAAAUCUGCAGUGCUAUCUCAAGCUUACCAAAAUGACAGCACUAGUUGUGGUGGUUAUCUCAAGCUUACCAAGAAAACCUGCUUGUGAUGGCCAGGUAUCAGCUAAUAAUACACUAUGGUGGCCUCCUUAUGUUGGUGACACAAUGAAAAGUGUAGGUGCCCUUCUCUUGUGAACCCAAGUGGUUGGUAGAGUUAGUGUAGCAAUUAGCAUGCAAACAAAAAAAAGAAAAAUCAUGGCUUUCCUGAGCCUGAGGGAGUGGAGUCCAAGCAAUCUGAGUGGAACCUGCGUGAUUCUGACAGCGCCAAGAUGAAACGAGUCCUCCAGAAGAAGCCCACGCAGCUCAGGUUUUGAUGAAGUAGGUGCUACAAGACUGCCACCAGAACCCAUUUGUUUUCCUAGGUACCCCCUUCUACUAUUUUUCUUGUGGUCACAAUGAAAAGUCCGCAACCCGGAAGAAUGAUUUUUCUCGUAGUUGCCUUCAAAUCAAGAGUUCAAGAACCUAUGUGACAGAUUGCUUGAGGUUUGUUUGCUUGUUCGUGACAAAGCACAGAGACACUCACACUAAGGCUGUUAAGGUCUCAAAUUCCGUACCUAGUCAUGGGAUGGGAACUCUCUUUUUAUUUCUGUGAUGAGCAAAGGUGUAAGAGGGCAUAGAUGAGUGGGCGAAGAACAGACCUGGUGGCAAUCUUCCUGGGGUCACAAACAAGAACCUGCGUCCUGGAAUCGAUGUAAGCC